GACGAACGCUGGCGGCGUGCUUAACACAUGCAAGUCAAACGGAAAGGCCCUGCUUUUGUGGGGUGCUCGAGUGGCGAACGGGUGAGUAACACGUGGGUAACCUGCCCUUGACUUUGGGAUAACUUCAGGAAACUGGGGCUAAUACCGGAUAGGAGCUCCUGCUGCAUGGUGGGGGUUGGAAAGUUUCGGCGGUUGGGGAUGGACUCGCGGCUUAUCAGCUUGUUGGUGGGGUAGUGGCUUACCAAGGCUUUGACGGGUAGCCGGCCUGAGAGGGUGACCGGCCACAUUGGGACUGAGAUACGGCCCAGACUCCUACGGGAGGCAGCAGUGGGGAAUAUUGCACAAUGGGCGGAAGCCUGAUGCAGCAACGCCGCGUGCGGGAUGACGGCCUUCGGGUUGUAAACCGCUUUCGCCUGUGACGAAGCGUGAGUGACGGUAAUGGGUAAAGAAGCACCGGCUAACUACGUG
rnacentral:rRNA from 1 species